CGCGUAGGCGGCUUGCCAAGUCAGGGGUGAAAUCCUGCAGCUUAACUGUAGAAGGGCCUUUGAUACUGGCGAGCUCGAGGGAGGUAGGGGUAUGUGGAACUUCCGGUGGAGCGGUGAAAUGCGUUGAUAUCGGAAGGAACGCCGGUGGCGAAAGCGACGUACUGGACCUCUUCUGACGCUGAGGCGCGAAAGCUAGGGGGAGCAAACG
rnacentral:rRNA from 1 species